AGUAGUUAAAUCAAUGAGAAAAUAAAACUGUACAUACAAAGACACAAACAGGAAAUCGUAAGAAGCGUGCAACAGUGCGUCAUCGAGAAUGAUGAUAAUAAGAAGACUUGACAGCUCAGUAGGUAUAUCGACUAUGACUGUGACUGUAUUGUCAUGCUUUAAAAAGCUUAAAACCAACGUGAUGUUGAACACCUUGUACAGAAGAGACACUGAUAGCUGAAAUGGAAGUCAUCUUUUUUGUUUUACUUGUGAAGGGAAUCCUUGCCAAACUAACAUGCACUGUGUCAGUAUACCAGAAUCAGUCUGUUGCUUAUAUCAUCUCUGGACCUCCGACUGCACCUGGAUGCUUACCCGAAUGGACCGCUGCUAACACCAUGUUGGUUGAUGAGAAGGGAAAUAUUUACCAUCAAGUGGUUUUGCAUGCUGAACCACAAAGGAUUCUCACUAUAGACUGUCAAAAAGAUGUUGCAUACCGUCUGGAAUGUUUGGCACUUUGGGUUUCUUCAGUGGUCAAGUGCAACAGUAAUCCGUUGGUGUUGUUUAAAAAAAAAACAGACACAUUUUUGGGAAAUUGCUUUAUUUUUUGGACCAAGAAUUUAUGACACUUUAGUCAGUGCUGACUGUGUCUCACCACUGCCUGCUGUUUGGAUCUUUUGAUCAUUCAGAAAAAAGUUUCCUAAUUUCCAGCAUGAGGAAACACUUACAGCCACAGGUGCAAAAAAUGAAUAAGGGGGUGACAUAUAAUACUUAAAUCAGCUUGCGCAGGGGAAAGAAGGCAUGUGACAGUUUUGGAGCCAUCUAUGUUCCCCCAAAAGACAAUUUGUAACUUGCAGCUGUCACUUGUAUGUUCUGUGUUUCUGUUCUACCUGCCUUGUCCUAGUUUUCAUUUGUUGCUUGAUUAGUUCUUUUGUUUCCACCCGUGUUCAUUUAUCUUAGUCCAUCGUUUGGUUUUGUAUACCUGUGUUCAUUUCUUAUCUUAUUAGUCCUCAGUUUGUUUGUCCUGUUUCCGUCAUGUAAAGAGUUUUUUUUUUCUCCUGUUUUUUAAGAUUCUGUUUAUUUGAUAUCUGCCUCCUUCGUACUCAUUCAAGCUCCUUCGACUGGCAACCCCGUGACAGAAGACAGGAUCCUAAAAGGAUAGACUGGGCUGAGGAUUUACUACUUAACAUCCAGCAGGAGGGACGGCCAUUGGAACGAUAUGUGGAGUUCCUGAGUGUUUAUCAUCUGGUGAGCUGGAGCAAUCAUAUGUUUAAUGGUUGCUUCCGAAUGGGACUGUACGAUGAUAACUUGUUCCGAUUUCUGUCUCCUGGUGAUAGUUAUAGACCUGUAACAGACAUUCUAAAUCACGUCCUCAAUAAUCGUCCAGAUCCCAUCUGGAAGCAUGUAGGCGCUCCGGCUCACCUUAAAUCAGCACCUUUCAUAUACUGCUCCAAUGAGCCCGCUCCCUUCGUUCAACCCAUGCCUUCGGGAUCCCAUCCAAGAUCCAUUUCAGCCCAGAAAAUGAGGCACCAGCGCUCCUGGAUUUGGCUCUUCCUCUGGAGAUCUCUGCUCCUAUCUUCUCACCUGAGUCUGCUCCAGAAAGCUCUCCUGAGUUUCCUUCAUCUCUGCUAGUCCCUUCCAGCCCUCCUUCAUUUCCUGAGUCUCCUGUGUUAGCGCCCUCCAACUGCCUGCCCCUCGAGAGCGCCUAGUUUUCCCCAAGAAAAUUUUGGGAGGCAGUCUAUAUAAAUGUGGCCACACCGGCUAAGGCCACGGAGGAUCUGCCUUGGCCUCCUGAGUCCCCUGAUCCGCCAUGGCCCCCUGAGUUACCAGCUUCUCCAUGCCUCCUGGAGCUACCAGAUCCGCCCACCACGUCCACCACUGAUGUCAUGUGUAUGUUCUGUGUUUCUGUUCUCUCUGCCUUGUCCUAGUUUUUCCUUUGUUGCUUGAUUAGUUAAUUUGUUUCCACCCGUGUUCAUUUAUCUUAGUCCAUCAUUUGGUUUUGUAUACUGUAAAUGGCCCUGACUGUCCUCAGUUUGUUUGUUUGUCCUGUCUCCGUCAUGUAAAGAGGUUGUUUUUCUCCUGGUUUUUCCAAGUGGAUUUAUUAAAAGACUGUUUAUUUGAUAUCUGCCUCCUUGGUGCUCCUGCACCUAGCAACCCUAUGACAGUAGCUAAGUUGUAAAUUAUAUUAACUUUCUCAGUCUACAUCAUUAUAAAUAAACUCAGUAUGUUAUGUACUAACAAUUGCAAAACAGGUUUUCUUUUCACUUUAACCCGCAGCUUUAAACUUAACUAAACCACUUCUGCAUAUAAGGGCAUCGGCUUUCAUAAUCUUAAACUUGCUGCCUUUUCUGUCUGUAUGCAUUUAUUUUAUUUUUCUGUGCAAUAAAUAACGUGGAUUGUGAAGGUAUUAAGGACCAUUUGUUUACUGUUUUUAUAAUACUGAUGUAAGACGCAAGUAAUUGUAACUUUAAUCACCUGCAGCUCCUGUGAAUAAAAAUUGUUUUAACCAUUCAAACGGAUGAUUCAUUCAGGAACAAAGCAACACAAUGACAUUAAACUUGUAUAAAAU
ensembl:lncRNA